rnacentral:rRNA from 1 species
UGCUAAUACUGCAAGUCGAACGCUUCUUUCCUCCCGAGUGCUUGCACUCAAUUGGAAAGAGGAGUGGCGGACGGGUGAGUAACACGUGGGUAACCUACCCAUCAGAGGGGGAUAACACUUGGAAACAGGUGCUAAUACCGCAUAACAGUUUAUGCCGCAUGGCAUAAGAGUGAAAGGCGCUUUCGGGUGUCGCUGAUGGAUGGACCCGCGGUGCAUUAGCUAGUUGGUGAGGUAACGGCUCACCAAGGCCACGAUGCAUAGCCGACCUGAGAGGGUGAUCGGCCACACUGGGACUGAGACACGGCCCAGACUCCUACGGGAGGCAGCAGUAGGGAAUCUUCGGCAAUGGACGAAAGUCUGACCGAGCAACGCCGCGUGAGUGAAGAAGGUUUUCGGAUCGUAAAACUCUGUUGUUAGAGAAGAACAAGGACGUUAGUAACUGAACGUCCCCUGACGGUAUCUAACCAGAAAGCCACGGCUAACUACGUGCCAGCAGCCGCGGUAAUACGUAGGUGGCAAGCGUUGUCCGGAUUUAUUGGGCGUAAAGCGAGCGCAGGCGGUUUCUUAAGUCUGAUGUGAAAGCCCCCGGCUCAACCGGGGAGGGUCAUUGGAAACUGGGAGACUUGAGUGCAGAAGAGGAGAGUGGAAUUCCAUGUGUAGCGGUGAAAUGCGUAGAUAUAUGGAGGAACACCAGUGGCGAAGGCGGCUCUCUGGUCUGUAACUGACGCUGAGGCUCGAAAGCGUGGGGAGCAAACAGGAUUAGAUACCCUGGUAGUCCACGCCGUAAACGAUGAGUGCUAAGUGUUGGAGGGUUUCCGCCCUUCAGUGCUGCAGCAAACGCAUUAAGCACUCCGCCUGGGGAGUACGACCGCAAGGUUGAAACUCAAAGGAAUUGACGGGGGCCCGCACAAGCGGUGGAGCAUGUGGUUUAAUUCGAAGC